rnacentral:rRNA from 1 species
UACGUAGGGUGCAGGCGUUAAUCGGAAUUACUGGGCGUAAAGCGUGCGCAGGCGGCUCCUUAAGUCAGAUGUGAAAGCCCCGGGCUUAACCUGGGAACUGCGUUUGAAACUGGGGAGCUAGAGUGUAGAAGAGGGGGGGUGGAAUUCCAGGUGUAGCAGUGAAAUGCGUAGAGAUCUGGAGGAACACCGAUGGCGAAGGCAGCCCCCCUGGGCUAACACUGACGCUCAUGCACGAAAGCGUGGGGAGCAAACAGG